AUGACAGAGGCUGUACAAAGCCACAGCCGAUGGAGAAGUCACCUGUCUAUUACUUCCAUUGACUUCACAUUUCCAGAUUUCAUGUCCCAGCCUAACGUGGCACGGAGAGAGCCGAAAGAACCGCACAGACAAACUGCUGCUUGGAUUCACCUGCAGCCUGGCAGAGACACACUUAGAGGAUACGCAGCUGAGAACCCUGGCACCAGAGAGCUCACUUCUGUACGUGGUUACUGCCACACGGCUGAAGCGCGGAGCGGGGAUGCCGCAGCUCUCCACGAUCCUCAGAACACAACAACGGGAGCGCGCUCGUGUGCGCCUGGGACAGCGGCACAGCGCCAGGGAGAUACAGCAGUGCCGCUCAGGAACCCGAGCUGGAACUACGAGCCAUAUCCCUCUUUUCCAACCCUUCGCCCCAAUCCUAGCGAGAGGACGGGUUUAACAGCCCACAUCUCAAUCUCUUCAGGGAAAAACGGGGACACAACACGGGGCGGCCCGCUCUGUCAAACCCGUCUAUGUGACAGCUCUCUAACAGCCGCUUCAGCCCAGAACACGCCAACAGCAGCACGCUGCUGCCCAAACAGCCGAACUCCGACAGCCGAACCCGGGGACAGCCGCAGGCCUUCCCUCCCAUCCUGCCCGGCACCUGCCGCCCGCCCGCAGGCCCCGCCCGAGCCCCGCUUCAGAGCGAACGCGGCCCGUGCAGGCGGCGGCCCCUCUCCCCGCGCCGCCUACCGAGAACAUGGGCGUCCCUCGCCGCGCCCGCCCGGCCGCCGUCGCCACCGCCGCCGCCAUGGCUCUGCGAGCGCCGCCGCGCCUCGCCGCGCCCCGCUCGGCCGCCCUACCCCUUCGCUGCGGCGCCCAUGGCCCCGCGCCGCCCCGGCCCGGCUGCCCGGCGCGCUGAGGCGGGCGCGGGGGAGGGCGGGGGCACCGCGCCGUGGGCGGCGCCAUCUUAGGGGCGACGGGAGCCUCCCGGGCUCAAGCGGCCUUCCGCUCUGCGCGCCAUGGGGUCGCGGGAGCCCUGCCGGCGGCUGGAGGCGGUGCUCGGCGCUCUCUACGACCUGGGUGACGAGCCCGGCGUCCGUGGCGCGGCGGGGGACGGCGAUGCUGGCGAGGCGGAGGAAGAGGAGGAGAGCCGGGAAGCGCAGCCGGCAGCCCCGAGCGAUGCCGGCGGGGCGGAGGGAGGGCGGCGCGGCGCCCGCGGCUUCUUCGGAGAGCUGCGGGAGGAGAUGUGCCGCACCGCCCCCCCGCCGCCGCCGCCUCACGCCGCGCCGCACCCCGCCCAGGUGGAGGUGGUGGUGUUCCGCGCGAGGAAGAGGAAGGCGCGGCCCGACCCCGCUCCGGCGGCGCCCGGCGGCGGCACCCAGACCAAAACAGUGGCUGAAAAGAAAAAUGUGAACAAGCAAGAAUUUAACUUCGAAAAA
rnacentral:lncRNA from 1 species